rnacentral:rRNA from 1 species
GACAGAGGUGCCGAGCGUUAGGCGGAAUCACUGGGCUUAAAGCGUGUGUAGGCGGACCGUUAAGUACCUUGUGAAAUCCCCCGGCUCAACCGGGGAACGGCUGGGUAUACUGGCGGUCUUGAGCCAUCCAGGGGCAGUCGGAACAGACGGUGGAGCGGUGAAAUGCGUAGAUAUCGUCUGGAACGCCGAAGGUGAAAACAGAACUGCUGGGGAUGCGCUGACGCUGAGACACGAAAGCCAGGGGGAGCGAACGGG